UCUUCGGGGGUAGAGCACUGUUUCGGCUAGGGGGUCAUCCCGACUUACCAACCCGAUGCAAACUACGAAUACCGAAGAAUGUUAUCACGGGAGACACACGGCGGGUGCUAACGUCCGUCGUGAAGAGGGAAACAACCCAGACCGCCAGCUAAGGUCCCAAAGUCAUGGUUAAGUGGGAAACGAUGUGGGAAGGCACAGACAGCCAGGAUGUUGGCUUAGAAGCAGCCAUCAUUUAAAGAAAGCGUAAUAGCUCACUGGUCGAGUCGGCCUGCGCGGAAGAUGUAACGGGGCUAAACCAUGCACCGAAGCUGCGGCAGCGACACUAUGUGUUGUUGGGUAGGGGAGCGUUCUGUAAGCCUGCGAAGGUGACCUGUGAGGGUUGCUGGAGGUAUCAGAAGUGCGAAUGCUGACAUAAGUAACGAUAAAGCGGGUGAAAAGCCCGCUCGCCGGAAGACCAAGGGUUCCUGUCCAACGUUAAUCGGGGCAGGGUGAGUCGACCCCUAAGGCGAGGCCGAAAGGCGUAGUCGAUGGGAAACAGGUUAAUAUUCCUGUACUUGGUGUUACUGCGAAGGGGGGACGGAGAAGGCUAUGUUAGCCGGGCGACGGUUGUCCCGGUUUAAGCAUGUAGGCUGGUUGUCCAGGCAAAUCCGGAUAAUCAAGGCUGAGGUGUGAUGACGAGGCACUACGGUGCUGAAGUAACAAAUGCCCUGCUUCCAGGAAAAGCCUCUAAGCAUCAGGUAACAUCAAAUCGUACCCCAAACCGACACAGGUGGUCAGGUAGAGAAUACCAAGGCGCUUGAGAGAACUCGGGUGAAGGAACUAGGCAAAAUGGUGCCGUAACUUCGGGAGAAGGCACGCUGGUGUGUAGGUGAAGUCCCUGCGGAUGGAGCUGAGACCAGUCGAAGAUACCAGCUGGCUGCAACUGUUUAUUAAAAACACAGCACUGUGCAAACACGAAAGUGGACGUAUACGGUGUGACGCCUGCCCGGUGCCGGAAGGUUAAUUGAUGGGGUUAUCCGUAAGGAGAAGCUCUUGAUCGAAGCCCCGGUAAACGGCGGCCGUAACUAUAACGGUCCUAAGGUAGCGAAAUUCCUUGUCGGGUAAGUUCCGACCUGCACGAAUGGCGUAAUGAUGGCCAGGCUGUCUCCACCCGAGACUCAGUGAAAUUGAACUCGCUGUGAAGAUGCAGUGUACCCGCGGCAAGACGGAAAGACCCCGUGAACCUUUACUAUAGCUUGACACUGAACAUUGAGCCUUGAUGUGUAGGAUAGGUGGGAGGCUUUGAAGCGUGGACGCCAGUCUGCGUGGAGCCAACCUUGAAAUACCACCCUUUAAUGUUUGAUGUUCUAACGUUGGCCCCUUACCGGGGUUGCGGACAGUGUCUGGUGGGUAGUUUGACUGGGGCGGUCUCCUCCCAAAGCGUAACGGAGGAGCACGAAGGUUAGCUAAUCCUGGUCGGACAUCAGGAGGUUAGUGCAAUGGCAUAAGCUAGCUUGACUGCGAGCGUGACGGCGCGAGCAGGUGCGAAAGCAGGUCAUAGUGAUCCGGUGGUUCUGAAUGGAAGGGCCAUCGCUCAACGGAUAAAAGGUACUCCGGGGAUAACAGGCUGAUACCGCCCAAGAGUUCAUAUCGACGGCGGUGUUUGGCACCUCGAUGUCGGCUCAUCACAUCCUGGGGCUGAAGUAGGUCCCAAGGGUAUGGCUGUUCGCCAUUUAAAGUGGUACGCGAGCUGGGUUUAGAACGUCGUGAGACAGUUCGGUCCCUAUCUGCCGUGGGCGCUGGAGAAUUGAGGGGGGCUGCUCCUAGUACGAGAGGACCGGAGUGGACGCAUCACUGGUGUUCGGGUUGUCAUGCCAAUGGCACUGCCCGGUAGCUAAAUGCGGAAGAGAUAAGUGCUGAAAGCAUCUAAGCACGAAACUUGCCCCGAGAUGAGUUCUCCCUGAGACUUUAAGUCUCCUGAAGGAACGUUGAAGACGACGACGUUGAUAGGCCGGGUGUGUAAGCGCAGCGAUGCGUUGAGCUAACCGGUACUAAUGAACCGUGAGGCUUAACCU
rnacentral:rRNA from 1 species